rnacentral:rRNA from 1 species
AUUGAACGCUGGCGGCAGGCCUAACACAUGCAAGUCGAACGGUAACAGGAAGACGCUUGCUUCUUUGCUGACGAGUGGCGGACGGGUGAGUCAUGUCUGGGAAACUGCCUGAUGGAGGGGGAUAACUACUGGAAACGGUAGCUAAUACCGCAUAACGUCGCAAGACCAAAGAGGGGGACCUUCGGGCCUCUUGCCAUCGGAUGUGCCCAGAUGGGAUUAGCUAGUAGGUGGGGUAACGGCUCACCUAGGCGACGAUCCCUAGCUGGUCUGAGAGGAUGACCAGCCACACUGGAACUGAGACACGGUCCAGACUCCUACGGGAGGCAGCAGUGGGGAAUAUUGCACAAUGGGCGCAAGCCUGAUGCAGCCAUGCCGCGUGUAUGAAGAAGGCCUUCGGGUUGUAAAGUACUUUUAGCGGGGAGGAAGGGAGUAAAGUUAAUACCUUUGCUCAUUGACGUUACCCGCAGAAGAAGCACCGGCUAACUCCGUG